UACGAAGGGUGCAAGCGUUAAUCGGAAUUACUGGGCGUAAAGCGCGCGUAGGUGGUUCGUUAAGUUGGGAUGUGAAAGCCCCGGGCUCAACCUGGGAACUGCAUCCAAAACUGGCGAGCUAGAGUACGGUAGAGGGUGGUGGAAUUUCCUGUGGUAGCGGUGAAAUGCGUAGAUAUAGGAAGGAACACCAGUGGCGAAGGCGACCACCUGGACUGAUACUGACACUGAGGUGCGAAAGCGUGGGGAGCAAA
rnacentral:rRNA from 1 species